UACGGGGGGGGGCAAGCGUUGUUCGGAAUUACUGGGCGUAAAGGGCGCGUAGGCGGCCUGGCAAGUGGAAGGUGAAAUCCCUCGGCUUAACCGAGGAACUGCCCUCCAAACUGCUUGGCUUGAGUCCGGGAGAGGUGAGUGGAAUUCCCAGUGUAGCGGUGAAAUGCGUAGAUAUUGGGAAGAACACCGGUGGCGAAGGCGGCU
rnacentral:rRNA from 1 species